rnacentral:lncRNA from 1 species
AAUGCUUACAAAAAUAUUUUCAGAUCUGAGACCGAUGCUGGACAGAGCUGUAGGGACAUCCUCCAACUUUAUAGCGAUGCUCUAACAAAAACUUGGUACAGUGGCGUACUUACAGGGGCUAAUUGUCAGGCAAAGUGUGUGGUGACUUUGAAAAAGACUGCAGUGCCAUGCCCGCUCACCCGCCCUCCACCAAGUCAAAAUAACACAAUCCACACUUUGAAAACUAUCCUGUUAUCACGGAGACCUCCAAUUCUAUCAGUUGACCAUUAAAGAAUGUCUAUCAAGCAUCCAGAAAAACAAUGAUUUGGUCAUUGCCCUCAAAGAACUGACCUAGACAGAGCCUAAUAGAAAAUACCAAGUAUUUUCUCCCUUACCUGGUUUCAUUUAAUUCCUACAACGCUGAGGUAGGUAUGGUCAUUAUCCCCUUCCUACAGGGGAAGAAACUAAGGCUCAGGGAGUAAAUAUUUUGCUACAAGUCACAGAACCAGUAAGUGGCAGAGCCAGGGCUUGAACCCUGGAGUCUAAAUCCUUGGGUACUGAUGGGCACCAUUUAGACCAGGAAGCCCAAACCUUAAGCUUGCUGUUCCAGUUUUUCUUACCAAAGGAAGGGUCCCCCAUUUCACUAAUACCAUUGACUUUUGAUUUCUCCGCUGAUCCAGGAUGAAGAGCCUGGUACCUUAUGCCACAAUGAGGCUUUUAGAAGUGCUGCUGCGCAGUUUGGCAGAGGGACCAGCGCCCCGUGCCUGCGCUUGGGAGCCAGGCUGACCCCUGGGUCUGCGAGCCAAACCUGCCCCAGUUCGCUCAGCACUUCCAACCGGUACCCCUCAGCUGCCAGGCCAGAAACCCACGAAGGGGCUCCAGCAGUCAGGGCCUGGGGAAGCAUCCCGACAGACGGAGGCGUGCGGGCCUGUCCGCUUGCUGCCCGGCCGCCCAGCCUGCUGCCCAGCCCCGGCCUCUCGGGUGGACGGGGCUCCAGCACCAACACCGCUUGGCCGGCCCCGCGCAGCCCCGAGCCCCCGCCUCUGGCUGCCGGCCCGCUCGCGGUGCUCACUGCGCGCUCUGGACCGGGCCCGCCUCUCGGCGGUUUUCGCUUUCGCUUUCCUGCCGAUAUAGUUGAGGAAAAUGAAAGUGGCCGUGGCCAGGACUGGCGAAGCUGCCGUCGGGGCGAGGGGCGCAGAGUGCGGCCGCGGCGGGUCUGGAGCCUGGAGCCUGGAGCCUGGAGCCUGGAACCCCGGCCGCAGCCAGCGCCGGGCGAGGUGGCAGCACGGCCUGGACUUCUCUGA